GAAGACGACAGCAAGAAAAGAGAAAGAGAAUGAAGAGAGAUCAACCAGCUUUCACUCCUGGUGGAAUAUUAACCCCUCAUGCCUUGGGUUCAAGAAAUUCACCAGGUUCUCAAGUAGCCAGUAAUCCGAGACAAGCAGCCUAUGAAAUGAGGAUGCAGAAUAAUUCUAGUCCUUCAGUAUCUCCUAAUACGAGUUUCACUUCUGAUGGCCC